rnacentral:rRNA from 1 species
AUUGAACGCUGGCGGCAUGCUUUACACAUGCAAGUCGAACGGUAACAGGCCGCAAGGUGCUGACGAGUGGCGAACGGGUGAGUAAUGCAUCGGAACGUGCCCAGUCGUGGGGGAUAACGCAGCGAAAGCUGUGCUAAUACCGCAUACGAUCUAUGGAUGAAAGCGGGGGACCGUAAGGCCUCGCGCGAUUGGAGCGGCCGAUGCCAGAUUAGCUAGUUGGUGGGGUAAAGGCCCACCAAGGCGACGAUCUGUAGCUGGUCUGAGAGGACGACCAGCCACACUGGGACUGAGACACAGCCCAGACUCCUACGGGAGGCAGCAGUGGGGAAUUUUGGACAAUGGGCGCAAGCCUGAUCCAGCAAUGCCGCGUGCAGGAAGAAGGCCUUCGGGUUGUAAACUGCUUUUGUACGGAACGAAACGGUCUGGGUUAAUACCCUGGGCUAAUGACGGUACCGUAAGAAUAAGCACCGGCUAACUACGUGCCAGCCGCCGCGGUAACAC